rnacentral:rRNA from 1 species
AUUGAACGCUGGCGGCAUGCUUUACACAUGCAAGUCGAACGGUAACAGGCCGCCAGGUGCUGACGAGUGGCGAACGGGUGAGUAAUGCAUCGGAACGUGCCCAGUCGUGGGGGAUAACUACUCGAAAGAGUAGCUAAUACCGCAUACGAUCUAUGGAUGAAAGCGGGGGACCGUAAGGCCUCGCGCGAUUGGAGCGGCCGAUGUCAGAUUAGGUAGUUGGUGGGGUAAAGGCUCACCAAGCCAACGAUCUGUAGCUGGUCUGAGAGGACGACCAGCCACACUGGGACUGAGACACGGCCCAGACUCCUACGGGAGGCAGCAGUGGGGAAUUUUGGACAAUGGGCGCAAGCCUGAUCCAGCAAUGCCGCGUGCAGGAAGAAGGCCUUCGGGUUGUAAACUGCUUUUGUACGGAACGAAACGGCUCUGGUUAAUACCCGGGGAUAAUGACGGUACCGUAAGAAUAAGCACCGGCUAACUACGU